AUUGAACGCUGGCGGCAUGCCUUACACAUGCAAGUCGAACGGUAACGGGCCUUCGGGUGCCGACGAGUGGCGAACGGGUGAGUAAUGUAUCGGAACGUACCUUUCAGUGGGGGAUAACGUAGCGAAAGUUACGCUAAUACCGCAUAUUCUGUGCGCAGGAAAGCAGGGGAUCGCAAGACCUUGCGCUGAUUGAGCGGCCGAUAUCAGAUUAGCUAGUUGGUGAGGUAAAGGCUCACCAAGGCGACGAUCUGUAGCGGGUCUGAGAGGAUGAUCCGCCACACUGGAACUGAGACACGGUCCAGACUCCUACGGGAGGCAGCAGUGGGGAAUUUUGGACAAUGGGGGCAACCCUGAUCCAGCCAUGCCGCGUGAGCGAAGAAGGCCUUCGGGUUGUAAAGCUCUUUCGGCCGGGAAGAAAUCGCACAGGUUAAUACCUUGUGUGGAUGACGGUACCGGAAUAAGAAGCACCGGCUAACUACGUGCCAGCCGCCGCAGUAAUAC
rnacentral:rRNA from 1 species